ACCAGUUGCAUCAAUAAAUUGGUUAAUUCUCAUCCUAUUUGUUUUUUUGUAUUUGAAAUUAUUUAAUUACAAAGCGAAAAAUCCUGGAAACAGAGAAAUGGGGAAGUGAAGAAUUGGAGUAAACGUUUCUCAUUGGUCAACUGAAGUGUAGCGCGCGACAGUCGAAUAAGCUCUGUGAAAGCGGGUGUCCCUUAAUGCAUGGUACAUUUGCGUUAAAUUCGACAUUUGAUUCAACAUGGCGGUUGACGUGGCAGGUUCGCGUGUGUAAUGCAUGGUGUGUUGGUGUUAUUAUCAAAGUAUAAUUAUGUCACGUUCAGUGUAUCAUUUAUAAUUUGGGGUUGUCCAAUUUGCAGUACAGCGAAUAGUUUGAUUUUGGAUCUUCAAACAGGAGAGUUGCAUAUAUUCAGUCUUCAAGAAAAGUUCGAGGAGAGUUGGUGUGUGGGAUUUGUUGGUUUGACUAAGUAAAUGUUUGAACUAGAGUGAUUUCAGUUGUGCAUCUUCAAUAGAGA